CUGUACUACUUAAGCUGACUCACCCACCUCUCUGAGGAGGGAUCCUUGUGCAGUGGCUGUAGAAAGCAGGUCUGUGGUUGUAUAUGCAGCUCAUUCCUUUUAUGUGUUGCUCUAAGGGACCUUGGAAACAUUA
ensembl:snoRNA SNORA70 Small nucleolar RNA SNORA70